UACGUAGGGUGCAAGCGUUAAUCGGAAUUACUGGGCGUAAAGGGUGCGUAGGCGGUUCGUUAUGUCUGUGGUGAAAGCCCUGGGCUCAACCUAGGAAUGGCCAUGGAAACUGGCGGGCUGGAGUAUGGCAGAGGGGGGUGGAAUUCCGCGUGUAGCAGUGAAAUGCGUAGAGAUGCGGAGGAACACCGAUGGCGAAGGCAGCCCCCUGGGCUAAUACUGACGCUGAGGCACGAAAGCGUGGGGAGCAAACAGG
rnacentral:rRNA from 1 species